AAAUCUGAAGUAAUUAGUUACACUUAGUUUCGGCCUAAAUAUUGGCUUACCAGCCCAGAUUUU
rnacentral:tRNA from 1 species